rnacentral:rRNA from 1 species
UCUCGGGGUUACAGCCUUGCUGAAUUAUUCACCCUUGUCUUUUGCGUACUUCUUGUUUCCUUGGUGGGUUCGCCCACCACUAGGACAAACAUAAACCUUUUGUAAUUGCAAUCAGCGUCAGUAACAAAUUAAUAAUUACAACUUUCAACAACGGAUCUCUUGGUUCUGGCAUCGAUGAAGAACGCAGCGAAAUGCGAUAAGUAGUGUGAAUUGCAGAAUUCAGUGAAUCAUCGAAUCUUUGAACGCACAUUGCGCCCUUUGGUAUUCCAAAGGGCAUGCCUGUUCGAGCGUCAUUUGUACCCUCAAGCUUUGCUUGGUGUUGGGCGUCUUGUCUCUAGCUUUGCUGGAGACUCGCCUUAAAGUAAUUGGCAGCCGGCCUACUGGUUUCGGAGCGCAGCACAAGUCGCACUCUCUAUCAGCAAAGGUCUAGCAUCCAUUAAGCCUUUUUUCAACUUUUGACCUCGGAUCAGGUAGGGAUACCCGCUGAACUUAAGCAUA